CUGUCUCUUGGUUGAUGGUAAUGUGCAGGGACUGCAAGGCCUGUGUGGGAUCAGUCGGGUCUGGUCAUGGCCUCAGGGUCCGGAAGGGACUUACAGCAGGCUGCCCUAGCUUGGACACUCGUUAAACACCAUCUACCACAGAAGGAGAGACAGACAGACAGAGACACAGAGGGAUAGACUCCACCUGCCAGGUUUGGUGAGUGAGCAGAAGACCUCUGGUCUUUACCUCUCCUCACAUGACCAAAGGUACCUCUUCUAAACUUUCCUGCACAUCUCCCUCCCAAUUUUUAUCCUUAUUUCAGAACAAAUUUUCAAAUUGAUCCCUAGUUUAUUUUUAUGCCCACUUGUGAACAAAUCUGUGCACGUGUCCACAAAAGAGACAGUGAUUUCUCUGAGAAAAAAAGAACAAAGAGAUACGCAGUGAUGUUCUGAAACAAGUUCUGGGUUUGAAUGCAAAAAUUGAGUCUUAAAAGUAAGAAUUUAGAGUUGAUAAUGUUUUUUAUUGUUCCCAGCUUCCAUGUGAUUUUAAAAUAAUUUCAUUUUAAAAUCAGUUCUACCCUGUAGAACUUUUUGUUGUGCAGACUGAAAAUACAGCAAGAAUAUUACGUAUAUAAGGGAGGAGUUCUCAGGAGCUGAAAAUCAGGGUUAUCUGGGAACACAUUCAUUAAAAAAUUGAAUUCUAGAGAGGUUCCUGAGAAAAUAAGAUAAAAUACUAGCAUGGAGGUCCUCCUCUAGUUGUUAUGACUUCUGAGAUAUGCUGGCUAAUGGUGUGGCUGGCACAGAGGACUUCAGCUUUCAUUCAGUCACAAUGCCUUUUUAUUCCUCUUCUUCCACUCCAUAGCCAAGCAGUUUCUGUUCUAUGACUACUUACUGAGUAUCUGUCAUUGCCCUUUAUUGUGGCCUAAGUAUUGACUAAAAAUUGAAUACAACCAUUAUUAAAUUAUAGUCCUGUUUUUAAUUUCACAUUUUAAACUUUAAGUUUAUUUGAUUGCUUGUUUGGUUUUUUAAAUUAUUUUUAAUCUUCUUCCCUGCUCAUGCUAGGGACAGAGGUAGACUUUUUGUUAACACUAGGACAAAGUGGGCUGGGAAAUGACUGAUUUCAUCAUAGCAAGUAUUUCACAAUUUGUCUUCCUUAUGUUGAAUGAGGAGUAGAAGAUUAAACUCCUGUGUUAUGAAAGUAAGAAAAUGUCCAAAGAGUGAAGAGUUUGAGAAAACAUACACUUACUGAUUUGAACGAGUAGAAUUCCUGUGGCUGUAUUCAGUAUAAUCAUGUCCUUUAAUCAGCAGAACAAAAUGAUGGCUACUCUCUUUCACAGCCCUCAGCAGCUCUGUACUUAGGAGCCUCAGCAUUCCUUGUCCACACCAAUCACCUGUUAGAAUGAACUCAAUUGUGCACAUAUGAAGUAAUGUAUGAAGAUGAUUUCAUAAGUUAAUUGAGAAAAAUAAGUGGAAAACUAAGCAAACUAACAUUUAAAAUGAAAAGUCCUACAUCUCCAACUCUGAAACUUUUAUCUUUCAGAAAGAGAGGCGGAUAAUCUUUCUAGAUCUUGAAGAGGCAUGUAGGUUGGAUAGCAGCCAGGCCUGUAGCCAGGUUCUUCAGUGAGCUGAUUUCAGAACAAAAAGAAAGCACUUCUCUUCCUCCUACUACUUUUUUUGCUACCUACAGGUAUUUAGUGCUGCCUCCAUUUGCUGUCGAUUGAGUGACAUUAAUCUAGGCCCUCCAGUUUUUUAAUAUUAAUAUCCUUUCAAUUGAAUCAGCCCAUAUGCCAAUUAUUUAUCAAUUCUUUAUAUUUUCUUCUGAGCUUCUUUUAACUUUUAAUUUUUUUUUCAGUUACAGGGAUUUUUGUAGGAGGCUUAAAGUAAUUACGGUUCUAUUCACCAGCUAUAUUCCUAAUUAACAAUGAUUCCUUUUCUAAGGUCUGUGGAUGACAUGCUGCUGCGUACAAGAGCUUUCACAUUUAAUAGGAAAAAGGAGCUCUAGUAACUGUAACAUCUGAACUUGCAUAUCACAAGGCAAACUUGAAUAGGAAAAUUUCUAUCUCCAAAACUGUUAGAAGAAAUCAGAUGCUUCAGAUGACAAGAAUUACAAAAAGAACCACCUCUGUGAGAUUAUUAUGCAGAAAGAAUAGCUAGAAGUCAAAAAAAUAAGAGAUUCCGUGGAAUUUAUGAAUAUGGAACUAACUUUUAAAACAGAAGACUGUGAGUGUUGCUUGGUAUUUCGCAUAACAGUUGCCUCUGCCUUCAAGAACAGAUUUUGGGUUCUAAAAUUGCAGAGCAUGGAAAUAUCUACCUCUGUCUUACCCUUGUACUGGAAUGGUGCAGGAGUUCAGGCAUAGCUUCUAUUGUAUCUUAAUUAUCAUGACUGGGACUCUUCCAGCACAAGGGGCCAAAUACUUCCCAUACAUGCAACUUGUGAGAGAGCUCAUGGAAACAUGCAAAUGCUCCAGUUAUGCUGGUGAGGCAGGAAGCAGGACUGUGGAAGAAGCAGGUUAGCAGAGUUUGCACGAUGCUGUGUCAAAGGUUACAUGCUCUGCAGUGCUCAGAGCCUGGCUGAAGGUGGGUAUGUCUACAAACAGUUGCCAUGUGGAGUCUUGGUCCUGCUGUGGGCCACCUUCUUGGAAGCAAGGCACAGUGGAGUCUGAAAAACACGGGUCAAAGUUUUCAUGAGAUCUAAUCUGUGGACGCUUAAUAAAAGUAUCUUCACGGAAACAAAAAGUGAAGAAUUAGCUGAACAUUUGUGUUAAAAAGUCCCUGAUUAACUCUUGAAACACAAUUGUAUUUGGUAUUUUUUGGGGUGUCGAGUAUCUGCUUUUUUUAAAAGAAUAUGUAUCAGUUGUGUGAUAAUAUUUCACAAGUUUCUGAAGUUUUCAACAUUAAAACCUUCUUAAGAAGUUUCUUCUGGGUGGUUUUCAGUUUCUGAAUGAGUCAAAUGGAUGUUUUUACUGUGAUAUCUUUGAGCAACACACUUAUUUAUAAGUUUACUGUUAACCUCUUUUUUCUCCUUUGGUGACUUUGGGGUUUUUUUGUAAGCAGUGAGUAUUGUAACGUGCUGGAGGCUGUGUUAUGAUAUAACAUUUAUGUAAAUCAGCAUACACAUGAAAAGAUUCAAGACCAGCUCCAGAUCUGGGGAAAUCUGGAUAUACAAGACCGGAUCUUUUUGGAAACCAAUUACUGUUUUAAAGUCCUGUUGUUGAGAAGUCCUUACUGAUGCUGGACGGAAUCAAAAGCCUUCACUAUUUUUGGGUGCAAGAGCCUCUUGUUUUGUAACUGUGAAGACUGAGUAUUAACAGUAUUUGAGAUGGAAAAUAGGCAGUGAUACACUGCUAUCCUCGACCUGCACGUGCCCACUUUUUCAAAACUGGCAAGAGGAGAGCUAUUAUUGAUACCUAAGAUUGCCUGGACGUGAAACUAGGUUGGACAUGCAGCAUCCUAAAAUUGUUUCCUGAAAAAUUUCCUGCUUUGCUUUCACUAAAGUUCAUACAAAUUUAACCAUCAUUUUUAUCCCAAUGGAUCUUGAAAAUUCCACCCAGAGGUUAUGCAAAUCAGCAUGUAAUGAAUUUUAAUAAAACCGAAUCACGGAUUUUGACUGAUAUAAAUAAUAAAUAUCAGUCUGUACUCAUAGCUAAUUUUUAAUUUGUGUCACAAAACUAUCUCCUGGUUGUAAGUUCUGCUUUGCAAUAGGUGUAGUGUCCUGAUUUGCUGGUAUCUGGCACACUGUGGAAACCUACUGCUUUUGCUGAAUUUGACAUGCAAUUACAACAUCAUCAUAAGCUGAACACAUAGACUGCUGGAAGACUCUAGUAUUUUAUUCUGAUAACUUUACUAUUUUUUAAGUGACAGUCUUCACAGAACCACAACUAAAACAUGCCUUUGAUUUAAAAAGUUGGAAAAUUUACUUUCCUCAUAACAUGAAUUAAUAAAUGUAUGCUUUAUUAAGCUUUAUUAUCUGUUGUGACUUGCUAGACAACUUUAUUGCCUUGGAAAAAGAGAUAUAUUCUUGCAAUAAAAUCCAUACAUCUUUGAGUGCUAAAAAUCAAUAGAUCUGGAAACUACAGGUCACCAUUCUGGCCUGCAUAUAGAUUUUGGCUGCCUCAUUUUUGAACAGCCAAUAGGUAAAAGAAACUGUAUUACAUUAAAAGCAUUUCAGUGCCAAUGCUUUUUGCUGAUGUUAGGGCAACAGAUAACAAAGGAGUGUUGUGUUCAUUUAAACCUUAAAGCACUUCUAGACUCGUGAAACAAUGUAUAAAGUCUGUUAAAAUGGAGGAAGAACUGCAGUCACUUUUCAGUCAGUCUUACCGAAGAAUAAUUUCUAAAUUGCCCGAACUAGGAUAGACUGAAAUAUCCGCUUCAUUCUCUUCUAUGGUUAAAAUAUGUUCUUUAUAGUUUCAU